AUGACGAAUGCUGAUCAAUAUUAUUUCCUCGAAAUCUAUUCAGGGUCUGAAAAUAUCCAAACGAAUCUAUGCGAAAAGAAUACAAACGCUAUUUAAAAUGUAAUAGUAGGCGUGUAAAAAAGGUGUAAACAGAGGAUUGGCAAAAUCAUGAUUUUGUUGUAACUAAAUACCAUUGAGUAUGGUUAUGUCUAAUAAUGAUCUGGUGAUAACUGUUGAAGAAAUAAGGAUGGAAUAUGCAAAAGAAGUGGAUACAGAGCAAUUUGCAAAUAAAUUUAAAAAAACAUUCAAGAAUAAUUGGCAAACUAC